ACCGUUGCCGCGUAAAUCGUACUCGACGCUUUCUCUCUGCCCCUAACCGUUUCUUCCUCUCGGUCAACGGCGAUGUUUCGAUUGUUACAUGGCGGAUCGAACCUUGAUCCUUUUUAGGGAUGGUUAACUGCAGGUUUCGUCGAUGUUUCGAUCUCGAUGUAGUUGAGUCGAUCUCGUAGGAGGCCACCGAGUUUGGCUCAUCGUGAAUCUCAUAAGGUACUGGUAGCGCCGCGGAUGGUCGUGGUUUUCUACGCGGUCCCGUGUUGAAAUCGAAACGCAGUAAUUAACAUGUGAUAUGUCUUUUAAUUUGGGUUGUAUUGGUAUGAUCCUUUAAGAGGGACUACAUUUUGUGUCGUUUUUGGAUCUGAUUGUUUCGAUUGGAGGUUAUGGUUGCGAGAGAGGUGUGUGUGGGGUACACACACGGUGCUUGUGCUAUUGUUUGUUCAAUCUCUUCCUUGUUAAAUGACCUUUGCCAUGUCAGGUGCGCUUGCAUGGCAGGUCCGAAAGAUUUAAUAAAAUUAUUGUUGUUUUUGUUUGGGGGAGGGAUGGUUUCGGGGUUUUUUUCAAUUUUCCCUGUUUGCCCCGGCUCUCUCCCCCUUUUGUAUCGCGUUUUCCCCUUUCCCUUUUCUAUUUUCUUCCUUUUUCUCUUUUCUGCACUGUGAAUUUAUAUAUUCUAUAACGCGCCACGCAUAGCAGCCAUAUGAUUUAAAAUCGGUUAUAGUUUUGGAACUCAACUCAACCCGAAUGACAAAUGAUUGGCAACUGGGCAAGGUACAUGGUGCUGAACGCAUACUUUCGUUGAUUUUAAUUGAGUUAUUUAUGAAUUGCUGUAUGUAGUUUUACAAUUUAUAUUUGCCGUUAUACCUCGCAUGUCCUGAAUUCGUAAUGCGGUUUUAUGAUUUCGCUUUGAAAUUGAAGGCAAUCAAUAUAAAAACUAAGCUAUUGGAUAUUUUCAUGCUUUCGCUGCAAUUACUAUACUUAUACAUGAUUUAUUUCACAUAUCUAUGACUGUUACACGUGAUCUUAUAUUUUCAUGAUUAGAUUGAAUUGAAAGUCUUUUACAGUUAAAUGACUAUGACAACCAUUUAAAAUUGUAUCAGUAGUCAGUACACAAUCUCUUACAGAAGAGAGCGAUCUAUCUUGCGCCUCACAAAAAUUUGGAUUAAUUAAAUAUCAGGCAUAUUAAUAAUUUUUACGAACGAUAUAUUUAUCUCAACUAGUUCUGUUGACUCUAUGGCUUUGGAUUACUUAAAAAUUUUAUCUAUCUAUUGUCCUUUGAUGGGUAAUUUACAAUAAAAACUUUGCAAAUGCAACAUCUAGUCUCAUGUUUCAAUAUCUUUAGUUUCAAAGUUUUAUUUUCAUUUAUUCAGUAGUUAUAUGUAUAUGUUGGUGUGCAUCUUGGAUACUUACAUUUUUUCCAUGUUACAACUAUAGUCACUGUCUCCAUGUGGAAUUACAAGGGUAUGAUAACAUUUUGGGUUGAUUGAUGUCUUCUUGCCACUGUAUCAUGGAGCUAUUAUUUGCACUUGUACUCCUGUUCUUGGGAUACUUGGGAGUUCGAAUUAUAUGUUUUGAAAAACCCCUAUGGCUAGAUUACGAGGCAGGGAUUACAGAUGGCUGUAAACAAAAGAACCUACUGUAGGGUCAAGGUUCCUUGUAUGUAUAUGUGCAGUCUUCGACUGUGGAUCAUCAUCAGCUUUGACCGUUUUCAAGCAUUGUGCAAUUGCAGUACAUCUUUCUUGAGUAGACACCCAAAUUUCCAUGUGUCUGAUUCAUGCUAGUGGAUAAAAAUAGCUGCUGUCAUUCUGUUGUGUGAAGCAAGAAACUUUUCAGACUUUGCUGGAGGAGUUCCGAAGCAGCUCACCACAGUUGGUUUUGAGUUUUUAUGCUCUUUUUUUGGGAUUGUGCAAUUUAGAUUGAGAUGAUGUUAGCAUAUGAAUUUUUGAACUCCAAUUUAUAUGUUGUUGUCUAGUAUAAUUGCUUUCUUCAUGUGCAACUUUGGUGGUUUUCUUAUCUUUUAUUUUUUCCCUGCACGCAAUUGAAAAAUUUAGUGUGUAAUGUUGUAUUUAUUGCUUCAAUGUUUGAUGUUUAGUUGGAGGUACUGUAUAUUAUUUACAUUGAGUUGGCUCUUCACUAUUGGUGAUUGAAAUUUUGGAGUUGCAUUGCUCCUGAUGCAAUUCAUUCUGUGUUUGUAGGCUUAUGUUAAUCCUCACUCAUCUGAGGGAGAUUUUGAUAAUGCAGGGCUGGAGGUUGUGUUGAAUUAUCAGGAGAUUUGACUGUCUUCUCCCUCAACAUUAAACGGUUGUAUUAUCUCCUGUAAUACCUGUGUAUACGGUCUGUGUCUUUCGGUAUGCAAUGACACACUCCCUGCAUCGGUGGACGCUUUCAUAACCUUGGUCGUUAUUAUUGGGUGACAUUGUUCUGUAGUUCAGAACUCAGUUUAUCCCUCUGGUUUGUUUUCCACCCGUUAUUUUAAUUUUGAUAAUGUUGAAACAUUUUCCCAACAGUUUCCCAAAGUGUGUCUUUGUAAAUAUUUUGGCUGGGGAAUUUUUGUUUCCAUUUGACUAAUGCAUGCAGGCGCACAGACACUUAGUGAUCUCAUCUAUAAUUCAGCUGCUAAUUUCUAGUUUGUUUU